UACGAAGGGGGCUAGCGUUGUUCGGAAUUACUGGGCGUAAAGCGUGCGCAGGCGGUAAUGUAAGACAGUUGUGAAAUCCCCGGGCUCAACCUGGGAACUGCAUCUGUGACUGCAUUGCUGGAGUACGGCAGAGGGGGAUGGAAUUCCGCGUGUAGCAGUGAAAUGCGUAGAUAUGCGGAGGAACACCGAUGGCGAAGGCAAUCCCCUGGGCCUGUACUGACGCUCAUGCACGAAAGCGUGGGGAGCAAACAGG
rnacentral:rRNA from 1 species